UGACACCACUGCAACCAUAAAAUUAUUUGAUUGUUACUUCAUAAUUGUAAUUUUGCCACGGUUAUGAAUUAUAAUGUAAGUAUCUAGUAUGCAGGAUAUUUGGUGAGCUAUUCCCCAGGGGUCUCAACCCACAGGCUGAGAAGCACUGUCCUAGGACACAGGUUUUAGAGCCACAAGGUCUAUGAUUAAAUCCUGCUUUUGAGAAGAUGGGAGAGCAGAGCCAUAUCUUAACCUCUUAGCCUGUGUCCUUAAAUGGGAAUUGUUAUAUGAAGCUCAACACCUGGCAAGCUUCAUCACUGUUCAGCCUGGGUGCACACAGCAAUUGCUGACACACUAAUUAGACCUGUAGCAUGGUCUGACUCCUGGACUAACAGUGGGCUCACUGCACAGCAGCCAUGAGCAGGCACUGGACAGCUUAGCAUCUGGGGGCUGGAGGCAGGGGCCAGGUUGAAGCUAUAACCAUUGUUUUUUAUGUCCAUCCCAGUGUGUGAAUGAUUAAUGGGGGAUUAUUUGCUUAUGAUUUAGUGCCUAGGCCUUAGGCGAGGCUUGUUUCCCAACUAACUUAUAACUAAAUUAACGCAUGUAUACCAUUUUAUGUCUGCCACAUGGCUGGUUACCUCUCCUCGGUUUCAUACAUCUGAUUUCCUCCAAGUCUUGGUGGCAAAUCCUCUCGUUCCCGGCUGUUUCCCAGCAUUCCUCUCUUUCUGCCAGGUGUCCCACCUUCUAAUCCUGCCUCGGUUUAUUGGCCAUCAGACGUUUUAAUCUAAAUCUGAUGCUUUUCCACAGUGUACCAGAGAUUAUCCCUGCAGGAAGCUUGGUCUUCACCUCGUCUUUUCUGUGAUAUCUUGGCAAAGCACUGUGUUUCUUAUCUGUCACCUAGGAAAAUACUUUCUCUACCACCUAGGUAGGUCAUUUUUAUUGCUGUGAACAAUUCUUAUUCUAUGUAUUCAUUAUGCUUUUCCUUAGCAAGAGUAUAUGAACCUUAUUUUACACACUCUCAUUCCUUCCCUUAUUGACAUACUCUUCAAAUU
rnacentral:lncRNA from 1 species